AUUGAACGCUGGCGGCAUGCUUUACACAUGCAAGUCGAACGGUAACAGGCCUUCGGGCGCUGACGAGUGGCGAACGGGUGAGUAAUGCAUCGGAACGUGCCCAGUCGUGGGGGAUAACGCAGCGAAAGCUGCGCUAAUACCGCAUACGAUCUGUGGAUGAAAGCGGGGGACCGUAAGGCCUCGCGCGAUUGGAGCGGCCGAUGCCAGAGUAGGUAGUUGGUGGGGUAAAGGCUCACCAAGCCGACGAUCUGUAGCUGGUCUGAGAGGACGACCAGCCACACUGGGACUGAGACACGGCCCAGACUCCUACGGGAGGCAGCAGUGGGGAAUUUUGGACAAUGGGGGCAACCCUGAUCCAGCAAUGCCGCGUGCAGGAAGAAGGCCUUCGGGUUGUAAACUGCUUUUGUACGGAACGAAACGGCUCUGGUUAAUACCCGGGGCUAAUGACGGUACCGUAAGAAUAAGCACCGGCUAACUACGUGCCAGCCGCCGCAGUAACAC
rnacentral:rRNA from 1 species